rnacentral:rRNA from 1 species
CCUACGGGAGGCAGCAGUGAGGAAUAUUGGUCAAUGGACGAGAGUCUGAACCAGCCAAGCAGCGUGAAGGAUGACUGCCCUAUGGGUUGUAAACUUCUUUUACAUGGGAAUAAAGUGCAGUAUGUAUACUGCUUUGCAUGUACCUUAUGAAUAAGGAUCGGCUAACUCCGUGCCAGCAGCCGCGGUAAUACGGAGGAUUCGAGCGUUAUCCGGAUUUAUUGGGUUUAAAGGGAGCGUAGGCGGGUUGUUAAGUCAGUUGUGAAAGUUUGCGGCUCAACCGUAAAAUUGCAGUUGAUACUGGCAUCCUGGAGUACAGUAGAGGUAGGCGGAAUUCGUGGUGUAGCGGUGAAAUGCUUAGAUAUCACGAAGAACUCCGAUGGCGAAGGCAGCCUGCUGGACUGUAACUGACGCUGAUGCUCGAAAGUGUGGGUAUCAAACAGGAUUAGAUACCCUUGUAGUC